rnacentral:pre_miRNA from 1 species
GGAUGGAUCUAAAUGAUGCAAAAACGGAAUUAUUUUUUGCGUCAUUCAGAUCCAUCCGA